rnacentral:rRNA from 1 species
UAGUACGGCGAGGAAGAGGAAAGCUCAAAUUUGAUUCUGGGUCUUUGCGCCCGAGUUGUAUCUAGAGAAGUGUUUCUGCCUCGGACCACACAUAAAUUCCCUGGAAUGGGGUGUCAUAGAGGGUGAGAAUCCCGUUUGUGGUGUGGACUACCUUGGCUCUGUGAUACACUCUCAACGAGUCGAGUUGUUUGGGAAUGCAGCUCAAAAUGGGUGGUAAAUUCCAUCUAAAGCUAAAUAUUGGCGAGAGACCGAUAGCGAACAAGUACCGUGAGGGAAAGAUGAAAAGCACUUUGGAAAGAGAGUGAAACAGUACGUGAAAUUGUUGAAAGGGAAGCGUUUGAAGUCAGUCACAUCGGUCGGAAUUCAGCCUGGCUUUGCCUGGUGUACUUUCUGGCAGAUGGGUCAGCGUCAAUUUCGACUGAGGGAAAAAGACUUGAGGAAUGUGGCUGUCCUCGGGCAGUGUUAUAGCCUCCUGUUGUAUGUCUCAGUUGGGAUUGAGGACCGCAGCACGCCUUAUGGCCGGGGUUUGCGCCCUCGGAACGUGCUUAGGA